AGACAGAAAGAUGAAGUAAAGCUUUUACUCAUCAGGAACUUCAUAUCAAGUCCUUCACCUCUAUCACUUGUGGAGGAGAACAUGACUGGAUCCUGGAGACUAUUUCUACUCUGUAGUCUCCUGCAAGGUGCUGGGUGCA